CAAUAAUAUUGGCGUUAGAAAAUAUAAUUUUAUCAUGUAACCUUUAUAUAAUUUAACCCGAGGCAGUGCUUUAAUUUAACGUGGGGAAGUGAACACACAAAACUGUUAGAAGACUGUUGCUAGGCAACCGUGGACCCGACGCCUUAGCUAGGAGCUAGCUGGGCUAACGCCACAGCUAGGUAUUUUAUACGGCUCUUCCUGAGGUAAAGUGUGUGUAGUAGAGGAGGAGGAAGAACACUAAACUGUGCAGGACAGGGGGUUCUCCAGGACCAGGGCUGUGGAAGAGAAAACACCAGUUGAUGUGGAUACAUGAAUGCAUUCAUCCUUCGCCACUCCGAGAGCAUCUCUAUAGCAACGUCUGCCCAUGAUGGAGUGUCUGUUAUCUCACCAGCCAAUCAAAACGAGCGAUACACAUGUGCAGAGACAAACACACCCCGGUGGUUAUUAUUCCUCCCGGUCAAUGAGGUGUCAGAAUAUGGAAAUGGCACCGAAAGAUAUGUGUCCGGACCAGAAAAAUGUCAACAGAGGCCUGGACUGAAGAACAUAACUAGAUAUGCUCCGUGUUUUUCUGAGAGAGAAAGCAGAAAGCACUUUGCUGAUGCUGGAAUUGCUGUGCGGUCGAUUUUGACUUCCGUCUUAAGAAACGUCCCGUUGUUACGAGAGCCCUUCAAAGCCGCGGUGUCGACGCAGCGUGUGCUUCCGACCCGUGUUAGACCUCGGGAGGCUGUCGUCGUCGUCCGGGAUCCUCCCGAACACCCGGUUGAUCUGUGUGGAGAGGACCGAGCGAGUUGAAGCGACGCGCUCGCCGCUGAAGUUCGGAGGACGCUGGUUCCUGGAGCCGAGGCGUGAUUAGCACGUGAAUUUCAGCAGGAAAUGAACUGGGAAAGUAUUUGCUUCAAACUUCUAAUGAAAGUUGGUGGAUUUUUGCCAGUUUACAUUUUAUGCGAAACGCGUAAUUCUGUAGAAGCUGCGUAUGGAUUAUAGAUGAAUUUUGUAUGAAGAUGAUUGUGUGUUUGUGAGGAGGAUGUCGUGUGUGUGUGUGUGUGUGUGUGUGUGUGAGAGAGCGAGAGAGAGGCCUAAGGCCAGCUCUUGCAUUAGGCUCUGUCGUUAAUGGGAUAACAAGACACAAUGACAAAUCCCAGCAGUGGGCAAUAAGGUGCUGAUGGGCGUGUUUAAUAUCGCAAAGCCUGUAAGCAGGUGUGUACACGCCACUGGUGCAGCGUGUGUGUGUUUGUGUGUGUGUGUGUGUGUGUGUUAAUGGGUGUGUUUAAUAUCUCUUGUAACCAGGUUUGGACAUUUUGGACAUCACCACUGGGGCCCUAUAAGCUUCUGUGUGUGUGUGUGUGUGUGUGUGUGUGUGUGUGUGUGUGUGUGUGUGUGUGUUAUUGGCCAUGUUUAAUAUCCUCUAUAACCAGAUUUGGACAUCACCAGUGGGGCUGCCCAUAUCGGCAAGGCGACGGCCCCAUUUGAAGAAUCUAAUAUGGCGGCCACAUCCCCUCUCUCUCUCUCUCUCUCUCUCUCUCUCUCUCUCUCUCUCUCUCUCUCUGUCUGUCUCUCUCUCUCUCUCUCUCUCUCUCUCUCUCUCUCUCUCUCUCUCUCUCUCUCUCUCUCUCUGUCUCUCUCUCUCUCUCUCUCUCUCUCUCUCUCUCUCUCUCUCUCUCUCUCUGUCUGUCUCUCUCUCUCUCUCUCUCUCUCUCUCUCUCUGUCUGUCUCUCUCUCUCUCUCUCUCUCUCUCUCUCUCUCUCUCUGUCUGUCUCUCUCUCUCUCUCUCUCUCUCUCUCUCUCUCUCUGUCUGUCUCUCUCUCUCUCUCUCUCUCUCUCUCUCUCUCUCUCUCUCUCUCUCUGUCUCUCUCUCGCUCUCACUCUCGCACCCUCAGAGAAUAACUAUUCUUGCCAACCCACUGCCAAUCAAUUACCCACCAGUUCCGCUGCCCUGUGAUCAGUCACCUCGACAACCGACCCGGGCAGCUGCUCAACAUCCCAUAAUUCACCCUGAACGAGCUCCUGCCCCGGUGGUGCUGUUUAAUUGGCCAACCUGAGGAAUGAAGACACGAAGGAGAGAGAGAGCGAGAGAGAGCGGGUGUGUGUGGUUUGGUGAGGGGGUUGGUGGGAUGAUGGCAGAAAUGGAGGGAUGAUGGGACGAGUGAUGUCAUUGACCUAUCAGGAUUGAGCUGUUGCCCUUUUCCCAGGCGCGCGACGUUCCCUGCGUUUUCCCUCACGCCCGUCAGAGCUGCCGGAUUCAGGAAAAUUCAUGGCUCGACCCCUCAACCUGGAAGCAGAUUAAGUGUCGGGCCUUUUCCCCCGUGCGAGAGACGGCAGGCAGUCGCCGUGGGAGACGGGGCCGUAACCGUGGAGGACGGGGCGUUUAUGAUGAUGUGAUUGAAAGGGCAUGAAGGCGGCGGGAGAUUUAUCACCCUGUUCAAACACGGGCGGAAAAGAGCACUAACAUUUUACACCUGAGGGCACAGAGAGAACACGCGCACCAACGUGUGUGUGUAAGUGUAGUGUAUAAUGGAGGCUCAAUGAAAGGAGGCGUGGCCUCUCUGCCUGUCAAUCAUAGUGAAGUGGGUGUGGCCUCUCUAGCUGCAAGUCCUAGUGAAGGAAGGAGGCGUAGCUUCUGUAGCUGUCAGUCCUAGUGAAGGGGGACGGAGGCGUGGCCUCUGUAGCUGUCAGUCCUAGUGAAGUGGAAGGAGGCGUGGCCUCUGUAGCUGUCAGUCACAGUGAAAGAGGCUUGGCCAUGUAAGUAAAAUUCAUCGUUACUGGUUAUGAUUUUUUUUGUUUUUUCCUGAUUCUCAUAAUAAGAAAAAAAGAGGUUUAAAUGAGAAGUUUGGAAGGAGUGAGAACGCAGGAUGAAGGUCGUAGUGGUUACGGCGUGAUGAAGAGCUGAAUGAUGAGGAGGAUGAUGAGCAAGAAGUUGGUUGCGGAAGAUGAAGGAGUGAAAGCAGGAGAAAAAGCAGAGUGAAGAUGAGUGUAUCUGUACUGUAUGUGGGUGUAAUUUGGUGCAAGAAUGCCUUGAGGAUUGCGUAUGACUGUGUGUGUGUGUGUGUGUGUGUGUGUGUGUGAGAGAGAGAGAGAGAGAGAGAGAGAAAGGGAGGGAGAGAGAGAGAGAUAGAUACAGUAAAUUAAUUUACAUUCCGAAGGUUUUCUUCACAGCAACCAUUUCUUCCUGCUAUUUCACGAUGAUCAAAGACGCGUAUUCUGUCUGAUGUCCCACGCUGCCGCAGUGUGUGUGUGU